rnacentral:misc_RNA from 1 species
AAAUGCGAUAAGUAGUGUGAAUUGCAGAAUUCAGUGAAUCAUCGAAUCCUUGAACGCACAUUGCGCCCCUUGGUAUUCCAUGGGGCAUGCCUGUUCGAGCGUCAUUUGUACCCUCAAGCUCUGCUUGGUGUUGGGUGUUUGUCCCCGUCUCCGCGCGUGGACUCGCCCCAAAGUGAUUGGCAGCCGGCGUACUGGUCCCGGAGCGCAGCACAUGUCGCGCAAACGAGUGCCUUGGUACGGCGGCGUCCAUAAGCCCCUCUCUCACGCUCUUGACCUCGGAUCAGGUAGGGAUACCCGCUGAACUUAAGC